rnacentral:rRNA from 1 species
UACGUAGGGUGCAAGCGUUGUCCGGAAUUAUUGGGCGUAAAGAGCUCGUAGGCGGUCUGUCGCGUCGGCUGUGAAAACCCGGGGCUCAACCCCGGGCCUGCAGUCGAUACGGGCAGACUAGAGUGUGGUAGGGGAGACUGGAAUUCCUGGUGUAGCGGUGAAAUGCGCAGAUAUCAGGAGGAACACCGGUGGCGAAGGCGGGUCUCUGGGACGGUACUGACGCUGAGACGCGAAAGCGUGGGGAGCGAACAGG